CGCACAUUGCGCCCCUUGGUAUUCCAUGGGGCAUGCCUAUUCGAGCGUCAUUUAACAAUUCAAGCUCUGCUUGGUGUUGGGCACUGUCUAUCGCGACUUGCCUCAAAUCUACUGGACAUUGGACUGAUAGACUAAGCGCAGUACAACUCGCACUUUGAUAUUGGCUCCCUUUGCCAUUACUCUAUAAUUUGACCUCGGAUUAGGUAGGGAUACCCGCUGAACUUAA
rnacentral:misc_RNA from 1 species